GUGCCAGCCGCCGCGGUAAUACGGAGGAUUCGAGCGUUAUCCGGAAUUAUUGGGUUUAAAGGGUCCGUAGGCGGAUGGAUAAGUCAGCGGUGAAAUCUUACAGCUUAACUGUGAGCUUGCCGUUGAAACUGUUUAUCUAGAGUUGUUGUGCUGUGGUCGGAACGUGCAGUGUAGCGGUGAAAUGCAUAGAUAUUGCACAGAACGCCGAUUGCGAAAGCAGGUCACAAACAACAUACUGACGCUGAUGGACGAAAGCGUGGGGAGCAAACAGGAUUAGAUACCCUGGUAGUCCACGCCGUAAACGAUGGUCACUAGUUGUCCGGUCUAAUUGAGGGCUGGGUGAUUGCGUGAAAGCAUUAAGUGACCCACCUGGGGAGUACGUUCGCAAGAAUGAA
rnacentral:rRNA from 1 species